UAGGGAAUCUUCGGCAAUGGACGAAAGUCUGACCGAGCAACGCCGCGUGAGUGAAGAAGGUUUUCGGAUCGUAAAACUCUGUUGUUAGAGAAGAACAAGGACGUUAGUAACUGAACGUCCCCUGACGGUAUCUAACCAGAAAGCCACGGCUAACUACGUGCCAGCAGCCGCGGUAAUACGUAGGUGGCAAGCGUUGUCCGGAUUUAUUGGGCGUAAAGCGAGCGCAGGCGGUUUCUUAAGUCUGAUGUGAAAGCCCCCGGCUCAACCGGGGAGGGUCAUGGGAAACUGGGAGACUUGAGUGCAGAAGAGGAGAGUGGAAUUCCAUGUGUAGCGGUGAAAUUCGUAGAUAUAUGGAGGAACACCAGUGGCGAAGGCGGCUCUCUGGUCUGUAACUGACGCUGAGGCUCGAAAGCGUGGGGAGCAAACAGG
rnacentral:rRNA from 1 species